rnacentral:rRNA from 1 species
GAUGAACGCUGGCGGCGUGCCUAACACAUGCAAGUCGAACGGAAAGACGAGGACUUUGCUCUGGUGGCGUUUGGCGAACAGGUGAGUGUUACACGUGGAUAACCUCCGUAUAAGUGGGGGAUAACUUCGAAAAAGGGGAUAUAACACCGAAGAAUAUAUUGUACCACAGGGGUCAAUAGGGAAAUACGGCUUUAGGGUUAGUUGUAGAUGGAUCCGCGCCUCAUUGGAUAGUUGGUAGGGUAACGGCUUACCAAGGAGACGAUGCGUAAGCGAGCUGAGAGGGAGAUCGGCCACACUGGAAAUUGGACACGGUCCAGACUACUAAGGGAGGGAGCAGUAGGGAAUCUUCCGCAAUGGGCGGAAGCCUGGCGCAACAACGGCGCGUGGGUGAAAAAGGGCUUCCGAUCGUAAAAGCAUGUUUUUCGGGAAGAAAAACUUUGGACGUAACUCGGCCGGGCGUGACGGUAACCGAUCAAAAAGCCACGGCUAACUACGUG